ensembl:lncRNA
GCCACGUCAAUGACAACGUGUACAACCAUUGGAGAUGUGAGCAGGACCAUUGACUGUAGAAAACAUGGACGACGCCACAGCUCCCCAAAAUGAAGCCAAAACGUCUCUAUCGCCCCCUGGUGUCUGGCUGCAGUAUAGGUCAUAAACCCCGCCUCCUCCAUGUUAGCGGAUGGGACUGGGGUCAGACUAAAAUAAAUUUAUUCUCCUUAGAUAAUUUUUUUCCAAAGAUUCUUUCUUUUCUUAUCAAUAGUUCUCAUCAUGCUGAUUGAUGUCCAAGGGGUCUCCUUUCCCAUAAGUUUGAUUCUAAUUCCUACCGCGGUGAUGUUAAAUUGGGGCGAAACGUCAUCAUAGCAGCUUUGACUGGCAGCUGCAGUCACGGAGAAACUUGCGUAUCUCUGUUCGGGAAUAGCAGAUAGAGCGUAGGCUCUGAGAGGCGGGCCAGCGUUUACGCUAUGAAAACACGGCCGAGUGUUUUAACCUGACAGCCUGAGGUGUUCUUCAGUAAACUGGACUACCCGACAGAAGGACCCGAGGUCCCGCUGCACUUUUUCGGAGCUGCCCUCAGAUUCAGACCUCAGCACCACCCAGUGACAGCAGACAGAUCAUCCAACAUGUUCACAUGUUAACUGCAAAAUGAACUGAUGAAAACAGUGCAAAGGUUAAAGUACCACAUGUGCUGUAGUGGAAGCUGCAGCUUUAUUGAUAAAGUUAAAGACAAAAAACAAAAGGAUUAAUCACCCCUGUAACUGUGUCACUAUAUAUCAGCAUUAACAGGACCUCAGUUUGGUGUUUCACAAAGCUGCUGAUCUCAGACCUGCACAGCUUCCGUUUUAAACACUUGAUGUACUCAGCUGCAUGAAGAGCAUAUGAGAUUUUCUCUAACACAAUUAAAUAAAACCUGAUGAAGUUCAAAGGUCGUCACUUGUAUGUUGAACUACAAACUUGUCAUCUGGAAUUCUUUCACAUUUUUUUGCAGAUAAUGUGUUAUUUACCAUAAAGUGAUUCAGAGUUAUUCAUACCAGAGUAACCAGAGAGGAUCAUAUAUUUUUGAAUAUAUAACUUUCUACAGGACUGAAUAUAAUAUCUUUAUGUAAAAGUCCGGAGCCUCUGGGGAGUAUCCGAGUAUUUAUAACAUUACACAAACCAAAGGUCUCCAUCACAGUGUUCAUGAAAUGCUGGGUUUAUCCAUCUCCUGGGUCGGGCCUACAGAGGAGUGCUUUAGAUUUCCCUGUGAGGGAGCUGCUGGUGAAGAUCAUAAGUCCUGCUUGAUCUAUGUGAUGAGCUUCAGUCUUCCUGGUGUUUCUUAAAUGAAGUCUCUUUCAGUAGGUCAACAGCACCUCUGGCACAGGACAGCUGUGAUGAAAGAAAGGGAAGAAGUUUCUCCAAACCUCUGGACCCAGGAAACCCAGCUUGGUCCUGAUGGUCUCCCUCACUAGUUUCUCUCCAGGGUGAAUGUAGCUGUUGAUAUAAUACGGACUCU